AGCUCCAAUAGCGUAUAUUAAAGUUGUUGCAGUUAAAAAGCUCGUAGUUGGAUUUGUGGUGUGUCCUGUCGGUCCGUGGGCUCAGCCUGCGUGUCUGUACGGGUCUGCCUUUCAUGGGACUGUUGGCUUUGUGGCAUUAGGUUGUCGCAUUGUUGAUGCCCAUCUUUUACUGUGAAAAAAUUAGAGUGUUCAAAGCAGGCUUAUGCCGUUGAAUAUAUUAGCAUGGAAUAAUGAUAUAGGACCUUGGUACUAUUUUGUUGGUUUGCGCACUGAGGUAAUGAUUAAUAGGGACAGUUGGGGGUAUUCGUAUUCCAUUGUCAGAGGUGAAAUUCUUGGAUUUUUGGAAGACGAACUACUGCGAAAGCAUUUACCAAGGAUGUUUUCAUUAAUCAAGAACGAA
rnacentral:rRNA from 1 species